GAGAUGGUGACCGGCCACACUGGGAGUGAGACACGGCCCAGACUCUUACGGGAGGCAGCAGUGGGGAAUAUUGCACAAUGGGCGAAAGCCUGAUGCAGCGACGCCGCCUGAGGGAUGAUGGCCUUCGGGUUGUAAACCUCUUUCAGCAGGGAAGAAGCGAAAGUGACGGUACUUGCAGAAGAAGCGCCGGCUAAUUACGUGCCAGCAGCCGCGGUAAUACGUAGGGCGCCAGCGUUGUCCGGAAUUAUUGGGCGUAAAGAGAUCGUAGGCGGCUUGUCACGUCGAUUGUGAAAGCCCGAGGCUUAACCUCGGGUGGGCUGUCGAUACGGGCUAGCUAGAGUGUGGUAGGGGAGAUCGGAAUUCCUGGUGUAGCGGUGAAAUGCGCAGAUAUCAGGAGGAACACCGGUGGCGAAGGCGGAUCUUUGGGCCAUUAUUGACGCUGAGGAGUGAAAGCCUGGGGAGAGAACACGAUUAGAUACCCUGGUAGUCCACGCCGUAAACGCUGGGAA
rnacentral:rRNA from 1 species